rnacentral:rRNA from 1 species
GACGAACGCUGGCGGCGUGCUUAACACAUGCAAGUCGAACGGUGAAGCGCCUUCCUUUUUGGUGGGUGUGGAUGAGUGGCGAACGGGUGAGUAACACGUGAGUAACCUGCCCCCUUCUUCUGGAUAACCGCAUGAAAGUGUGGAUAAUACGGGAUAUUCUGGGUCUGUCGCAUGAUGGGUCUGGGAAAGAUAUUGUUUCGGUGGGGGAUGGGCUCGCGGCCUAUCAGCUUGUUGGUGGGGUGAUGGCCUACCAAGGCGGUGACGGGUAGCCGGCCUGAGAGGGUGGACGGCCACACUGGGACUGAGACACGGCCCAGACUCCUACGGGAGGCAGCAGUGGGGAAUAUUGCACAAUGGGCGCAAGCCUGAUGCAGCGACGCCGCGUGAGGGAUGGAGGCCUUCGGGUUGUGAACCUCUUUCGCCAGUGAAGCAGGCCUGCCUCGUUUGUGGGUGGGUUGACGGUAGCUGGAUAAGAAGCGCCGGCUAACUACGUG